rnacentral:rRNA from 1 species
AGGAUAAACGCUGGCGGCGUGCCUAAAACAUGCAAGUCGGACGGGCCAUUGCUUUCGGGUGGUGGUCAGUGGCGGACGGCUGAGUAACACGUGGGUGACCUGCCCCCAUGCGGGGGACAACCGCCCGAAAGGGUGGCUAAUACCGCAGAGCUCGCAGCUUCGGUGGUGUGAGUGAACUUCUUCGGAGGGUAUGGGGAGGGCCCGCGGCCGAUUAGCUGGCUGGUGGGGUGACGGCCUACCAGGGCGACGAUCGGUAGCUGGUCUGAGAGGAUGAUCAGCCAGACUGGGACUGCGACACGGCCAGACUCCUACGGGAGGCAGCAGUUAGGAAUUUGGGCAAUGGGGCAACCUGACCCAGCAACGCGCGUGGGUGACGAAGGCCCUCGGUCGUAAAGCCCUUUUCCCCGGGACGAUGGUGACGGUACCGGGGAAUCGAGCCCCGGCUAACUACGUGCCAGCAGCCGC